AACGAACGCUGGCGGCAGGCCUAACACAUGCAAGUCGAGCGAGGACUUCGGUCCUAGCGGCGGACGGGUGAGUAACGCGUGGGAACGUGCCCUUUGCUUCGGAAUAGCCCUUGGAAACUGGGAGUAAUACCGGAUGAGCCCCUCGGGGGAAAGAUUUAUCGGGGAAGGAUCGGCCCGCGUUGGAUUAGGUAGUUGGUGGGGUAAUGGCCUACCAAGCCGACGAUCCAUAGCUGGUUUGAGAGGCUGAUCAGCCACACUGGGACUGAGACACGGCCCAGACUCCUACGGGAGGCAGCAGUGGGGAAUCUUAGACAAUGGGGGAAACCAUGAUCGAGCCAUGCCGCGUGAGCGAUGAAGGCCUUAGGGUUGUAAAGCUCUUUCAGCUGGGAAGAUAAUGACGGUACCAGCAGAAGAAGCCCCGGCUAACUCCGUG
rnacentral:rRNA from 1 species